AUUGAACGCUGGCGGCAGGCCUAACACAUGCAAGUCGAGCGAGCGGCGGACGGGUGAGUAAUGUAUGGGGAUCUGCCUGAUGGAGGGGGAUAACUACUGGAAACGGUAGCUAAUACCGCAUACCAUCAGAUGAACCCAUAUGGGAUUAGCUAGUAGGUGAGGUAACGGCUCACCUAGGCGACGAUCCCUAGCUGGUCUGAGAGGAUGAUCAGCCAAACUGGGACUUAGACACGGUCCAGACGCCUACGGGAGGCAGCAGUGGGGAAUAUUGGGCAAUGGGCGCAAGCCUGAUGCAGCCAGGCCGCGUGUAUGAAGAAGGCCUUCGGGUUGGAAAGUUCUUUCAGUCGGGAAGCGUUACCGACAGAAAAAGCCCCUGCUAACUCCGUGCCAGCCGCCGCGGUAAUAC
rnacentral:rRNA from 1 species